GACAGAGGGUGCAAACGUUGUUCGGAAUUACUGGGCAUAAAGAGCACGUAGGUGGUUCGCUAAGUCACGUGUGAAAUCCCCCGGCUUAGCCGGGGAAUUGCGCGUGAUACUGGCGAACUCGAGGCGGGUAGGGGUGAGCGGAACUCCAGGUGGAGCGGUGAAAUGCGUAGAUAUCUGGAGGAACACCGGUGGCGAAAGCGGCUCACUGGACCCGAUCUGACACUGAGGUGCGAAAGCUAGGGUAGCAAACGGG
rnacentral:rRNA from 1 species